GCGCGGAAGAUGUAACGGGGCUAAACCAUGCACCGAAGCUGCGGCAGCGACACUGUGUGUUGUUGGGUAGGGGAGCGUUCUGUAAGCCUGUGAAGGUGUGCUGUGAGGCAUGCUGGAGGUAUCAGAAGUGCGAAUGCUGACAUAAGUAACGAUAAAGCGGGUGAAAAGCCCGCUCGCCGGAAGACCAAGGGUUCCUGUCCAACGUUAAUCGGGGCAGGGUGAGUCGACCCCUAAGGCGAGGCCGAAAGGCGUAGUCGAUGGGAAACAGGUUAAUAUUCCUGUACUUGGUGUUACUGCGAAGGGGGGACGGAGAAGGCUAUGUUGGCCGGGCAACGGUUGUCCCGGUUUAAGCGUGUAGGCUGGUUUUCCAGGCAAAUCCGGAAAAUCAAGGCUGAGGCGUGAUGACGAGGCACUACGGUGCUGAAGCAACAAAUGCCCUGCUUCCAGGAAAAGCCUCUAAGCAUCAGGUAACAUCAAAUCGUACCCCAAACCGACACAGGUGGUCAGGUAGAGAAUACCAAGGCGCUUGAGAGAACUCGGGUGAAGGAACUAGGCAAAAUGGUGCCGUAACUUCGGGAGAAGGCACGCUGAUAUGUAGGUGAAGUCCCUCGCGGAUGGAGCUGAAAUCAGUCGAAGAUACCAGCUGGCUGCAACUGUUUAUUAAAAACACAGCACUGUGCAAACACGAAAGUGGACGUAUACGGUGUGACGCCUGCCCGGUGCCGGAAGGUUAAUUGAUGGGGUCAGCGCAAGCGAAGCUCUUGAUCGAAGCCCCGGUAAACGGCGGCCGUAACUAUAACGGUCCUAAGGUAGCGAAAUUCCUUGUCGGGUAAGUUCCGACCUGCACGAAUGGCGUAAUGAUGGCCAGGCUGUCUCCACCCGAGACUCAGUGAAAUUGAACUCGCUGUGAAGAUGCAGUGUACCCGCGGCAAGACGGAAAGACCCCGUGAACCUUUACUAUAGCUUGACACUGAACAUUGAGCCUUGAUGUGUAGGAUAGGUGGGAGGCUUUGAAGUGUGGACGCCAGUCUGCAUGGAGCCGACCUUGAAAUACCACCCUUUAAUGUUUGAUGUUCUAACGUGGACCCGUGAUCCGGGUUGCGGACAGUGUCUGGUGGGUAGUUUGACUGGGGCGGUCUCCUCCUAAAGAGUAACGGAGGAGCACGAAGGUUGGCUAAUCCUGGUCGGACAUCAGGAGGUUAGUGCAAUGGCAUAAGCCAGCUUGACUGCGAGCGUGACGGCGCGAGCAGGUGCGAAAGCAGGUCAUAGUGAUCCGGUGGUUCUGAAUGGAAGGGCCAUCGCUCAACGGAUAAAAGGUACUCCGGGGAUAACAGGCUGAUACCGCCCAAGAGUUCAUAUCGACGGCGGUGUUUGGCACCUCGAUGUCGGCUCAUCACAUCCUGGGGCUGAAGUAGGUCCCAAGGGUAUGGCUGUUCGCCAUUUAAAGUGGUACGCGAGCUGGGUUUAGAACGUCGUGAGACAGUUCGGUCCCUAUCUGCCGUGGGCGCUGGAGAACUGAGGGGGGCUGCUCCUAGUACGAGAGGACCGGAGUGGACGCAUCACUGGUGUUCGGGUUGUCAUGCCAAUGGCACUGCCCGGUAGCUAAAUGCGGAAGAGAUAAGUGCUGAAAGCAUCUAAGCACGAAACUUGCCCCGAGAUGAGUUCUCCCUGACCCUUUAAGGGUCCUGAAGGAACGUUGAAGACGACGACGUUGAUAGGCCGGGUGUGUAAGCGCAGCGAUGCGUUGAGCUAACCGGUACUAAUGAACCGUGAGGCUUAACCUUACAACGCCGAAGGUGUUU
rnacentral:rRNA from 1 species